CGAAUGCUGACGUGAGUAACGACAAAACGGGUGAAAAACCCGUUCGCCGAAAGACCAAGGGUUCCAGUCCAACGUUAAUCGGGGCUGGGUGAGUCGACCCCUAAGGCGAGGCCGAAAGGCGUAGUCGAUGGGAAAAUGGUUAAUAUUCCAUUACUUCUGUGUAAUGCGAUGAGAGGACGGAGAAGGCUAAAUCAGCCUGGCGUUGGUUGUCCAGGUGAAAGGAUGUAGGCAUGUAUCUUAGGCAAAUCCGGGGUACUCUAUGCUGAGAUCUGAUAGCAAGCUGUACUUGUACAGCGAAGUGGUUGAUGCCAUGCUUCCAGGAAAAGUCUCUAAGCUUCAGUUACACAGGAAUCGUACCCGAAACCGACACAGGUGGUCAGGUCGAGUAGACCAAGGCGCUUGAGAGAACUCUGCUGAAGGAACUAGGCAAAAUGGUACCGUAACUUCGGGAGAAGGUACGCUGUUGUUGGUGAUGGAACUCGCUUCCUGAGCUGACGACAGCCGCAGAAACCAGGCCGCUGCAACUGUUUAUUAAAAACAUAGCACUCUGCAAACACGAAAGUGGACGUAUAGGGUGUGAUGCCUGCCCGGUGCUGGAAGGUUAAUUGAUGGGGUUAGCGUAAGCGAAGCUCUUGAUCGAAGCCCCAGUAAACGGCGGCCGUAACUAUAACGGUCCUAAGGUAGCGAAAUUCCUUGUCGGGUAAGUUCCGACCUGCACGAAUGGCAUAAUGAUGGCGGCGCUGUCUCCAGCAGAGGCUCAGUGAAAUCGAAAUCGCUGUGAAGAUGCAGUGUACCCGCGGCUAGACGGAAAGACCCCGUGAACCUUUACUGCAGCUUGACACUGAACUUUGACCUUACUUGUGUAGGAUAGGUGGGAGGCUUUGAAGCUGGAACGCUAGUUCCAGUGGAGCCGUCCUUGAAAUACCACCCUGGUAAUGUUGAGGUUCUAACUCUGUCCCGUGAUCCGGGACGAGGACCGUGUCUGGUGGGUAGUUUGACUGGGGCGGUCUCCUCCUAAAGAGUAACGGAGGAGUACGAAGGUGCGCUCAGCGUGGUCGGAAAUCACGCGUAGAGUAUAAAGGCAAAAGCGCGCUUAACUGCGAGACCCACAAGUCGAGCAGGUACGAAAGUAGGUCUUAGUGAUCCGGUGGUUCUGUAUGGAAGGGCCAUCGCUCAACGGAUAAAAGGUACUCUGGGGAUAACAGGCUGAUACCGCCCAAGAGUUCAUAUCGACGGCGGUGUUUGGCACCUCGAUGUCGGCUCAUCUCAUCCUGGGGCUGAAGCAGGUCCCAAGGGUAUGGCUGUUCGCCAUUUAAAGAGGUACGCGAGCUGGGUUUAGAACGUCGUGAGACAGUUCGGUCCCUAUCUACCGUGGGCGCUGGAAAUUUGAGAGGAUCUGCUCCUAGUACGAGAGGACCAGAGUGGACGAACCUCUGGUGUACCGGUUGUGACGCCAGUCGCAUCGCCGGGUAGCUAUGUUCG
rnacentral:rRNA from 1 species